ACCUGGGUAGCUCAGUGUGUAAGAGUGUGGUGUUCAUAACACCAAGGUUGUAGGUUCGAUCCUUGUAUAUUCCUGCAUA